rnacentral:rRNA from 1 species
AACGAACGCUGGCGGCAUGCCUAACACAUGCAAGUCGAACGAGACCUUCGGGUCUAGUGGCGCACGGGUGCGUAACGCGUGGGAACCUGCCCUUAGGUUCGGAAUAACUCCCCGAAAGGGGUGCUAAUACAGGAUAAUGUCUUCGGACCAAAGAUUUACCGCCUUUGGAUGGGCCCGCGUUGGAUUAGCUAGUUGGUAGGGUAAAAGCCUACCAAGGCGACGAUCCAUAGCUGGUCUGAGAGGAUGAUCAGCCACACUGGGACUGAGACACGGCCCAGACUCCUACGGGAGGCAGCAGUGGGGAAUAUUGGACAAUGGGCGAAAGCCUGAUCCAGCAAUGCCGCGUGAGUGAUGAAGGCCUUAGGGUUGUAAAGCUCUUUUACCCGGGAUGAUAAUGACAGUACCGGGAGAAUAAGCUCCGGCUAACUCCGUG